AUUGAACGCUGGCGGCAGGCCUAACACAUGCAAGUCGAGCGGAUCGACCGACGGAUGAGUAAUGCAUAUGAAUCUGCCUGGUAGUUGGGGAUAACGUCCGGAAGCGGGCGCUAACACCGCAUACUCUCCGCUGAGCCUACCUGGGAUUAGCUAGUUGGUGGGGUAAGGGCCUACCAAGGCGACGAUCCCUAACUGGUCUGAGAGGAUGAUCAGUCACACUGGAACUGAGACACGGUCCAGACUCCUACGGGAGGCAGCAGUGGGGAAUAUUGGACAAUGGGCGAAAGCCUGAUGCAGCCAUGCCGCGUGUGUGAAGAAGGUCUUCGGGUUGUAAAGCACUUUAAGUUGGGAGGCGUUACCAACAGAAUAAGCACCGGCUAACUCCGUGCCAGCAGCCGCGGUAAUAC
rnacentral:rRNA from 1 species